GCCCAGACUCCUACGGGAGGCAGCAGUGGGGAAUAUUGCACAAUGGGGGAAACCCUGAUGCAGCGACGCCGCGUGAAGGACGAAGUAUUUCGGUACGUAAACUUCUAUCAGCAGGGAAGAAAAUGACGGUACCUGACCAAGAAGCCCCGGCUAACUACGUGCCAGCAGCCGCGGUAAUACGUAGGGGGCAAGCGUUAUCCGGAUUUACUGGGUGUAAAGGGAGCGUAGACGGUUAUGUAAGUCUGGAGUGAAAGCCCGGGGCCCAACCCCGGGACUGCUUUGGAAACUGUGUAACUGGAGUACAGGAGGGGCAGGCGGAAUUCCUGGUGUAGCGGUGAAAUGCGUAGAUAUCAGGAGGAACACUGGCGGCGAAGGCGGCCUGCUGGACUGAAACUGACGUUGAGGCUCGAAAGCGUGGGGAGCAAACAGGAUUAGAUACCCCAGUAG
rnacentral:rRNA from 1 species